rnacentral:rRNA from 1 species
AUUGAACGCUGGCGGCAGGCCUAACACAUGCAAGUCGAACGGUAACAGGAAGCAGCUUGCUGCUUUGCUGACGAGUGGCGGACGGGUGAGUAAUGUCUGGGAAACUGCCCGAUGGAGGGGGAUAACUACUGGAAACGGUAGCUAAUACCGCAUAACGUCGCAAGACCAAAGAGGGGGACCUUAGGGCCUCUUGCCAUCGGAUGUGCCCAGAUGGGAUUAGCUAGUAGGUGGGGUAACGGCUCACCUAGGCGACGAUCCCUAGCUGGUCUGAGAGGAUGACCAGCCACACUGGAACUGAGACACGGUCCAGACUCCUACGGGAGGCAGCAGUGGGGAAUAUUGCACAAUGGGCGCAAGCCUGGUGCAGCCAUGCCGCGUGUAUGAAGAAGGCCUUCGGGUUGUAAAGUACUUUCAGCGGGGAGGAAGGGAGUAAAGUUAAUACCUUUGCUCAUUGACGUUACCCGCAGAAGAAGCACCGGCUAACUCCGUG